rnacentral:lncRNA from 1 species
GAACAGCAUGCAGUCCACCAUUCUUUACACUACACAAACAGUUUUCAAUCUUCCUGUGUUUCAGGAACUUUCCAAGGAUGGGAGGAAAGGACCAGCACCUAAACCAGAGAUGCAACUUUCUCCUACAGCAGUCAAUUGCCAAAUCUUGCCAAUUUUAUCUUUCUCUCAAUUCUCCCAUUUCCUCUCUAUUUCUACUACCACCACUCUGGCCUGGGCUCUCAUUGUCUCAUCCCUGGCCUUCCACAAUAACCUCCUCAACUGAUGGUCUUGGCUUUGCUCUGUCUUUCCCAUGUGUGAUCUCUGGACAAAUGCAAGAAUGAACUACUUGAAAAGCAGAUCAAGCCAUACCUGAGACUAUUUCCAGUCAAAGCCCCCUGCCAUGGAACGACUGGCUACAGCUCUCUGUAAUCUAGCCCCAGCCUACUUCUCCAGCCUCGUCUUCCGCCCUUCCCCAGCAUGCACUUUUAACUCCAACAAACCAAGCUGUGUGCAGUUUCAUGUGCCAUGGUGUUUCUUUCCUCCUUGUCUUUGCUCUUGCUGUCCCUUCUGCUUGUCAUGCCCUCCCUACCAUCUCCUCUUCUCAUAGCCUGUUUGAACUCUUACAUCUCAGGUUUUUCCUCUGCCAGGAAAACUUUCCUGUCCUCCUCCCCUCCAGACAAAGUGGCUUAGAUGCCCCUUCCCACAGCUCUCUUGACACCCUGGGCCUGCCUGUCUCUAUCCAUUCAUUCCACCAAGAUCCAUUGAUUGCCUACUACAUGCCAGACAUGGUGCUGGAAACAGCAGUGAUUACAACAAAGAAAAAACCUUUCCUCUUGGAUAUUCAACUCUACUGGCUUAGGUGCCAAGAUCAUCUUCAAUCACAGAGAAGAUUGCAUGAGUUCUGCACGUUCCACCGGAGGACACACGAGGCCUCCCUUUCAAGCUCACCUCUAGUCACUCCUCAGAGUGCAUCCUGCCUGCUACCCCACACGCCUAUGGACAUGCCAUGCUCUUUUCUCCUUUCUGC